CUGCUACUCUCUUUCUCCUCCUUUUCACUUUUCUCCUCCUCCGCUUUUUCUGGCUGUUCCUCCUCCUCUGUUGCAGAAGGUGAUGUGGUCUUCUCUGUGCUGCCUAUGCUGCCAUCUUCCUCUGAAGGAAAACCCUGCUAAAGUACUGAGAAACUUGCAUGGUGCCUAGAGGUAAACACGGAAAACCGCAAAGACAAACUUCAAACCAGGAACUCUUCUGUAGGAGCACUCUGAAUGCAUAUGUCACUGAUCUCUGCAAAGUUUUGCCAUGAAGCCCACAGUCCACAAUGCUACUGAAUAAUACAUUCGACAUCGACUAUCCAUGCGACGCUGCAACACCACGCGUUACUCACCAGUGGACAUUUUGAGGUUGACCGGUCACCUUUUCCAAAUGCAGAUGACAGACCCCCUGUAAACCGAGGCAUUUUUCUCAACAAGCAAGACAUGCUUGUUGCGUGGCGAUAUGCUGUGAAGUGCACGGAAAGCACGCUACAUCGACGGCUGCCACUACCACAAGCAUGGACAAUUUGGACAUAAACAUCACCAUGCCAUCCCGCAACCUCCAACAGCUAAAAGGGCUGAGAGAGGGAAAGACCCCCUUCACGCAUGCGCGCCUCUACGCGGGCUGAACCACUAUUCUGUAGGGGGGAGGGCGAACAGGGCGAAAGCGAGAACUAUUGCACCUACUUAUUU